AUGUGGGCCCCAAACUUGUCCUGCCCUCUGCUUGCUGACGUCAGGUGGCUAGGGUUUGUUCGGACUACGUGAGGAGCUGAAAAGGAAAGCAGCGCCAUGCGAUUCCCUCGGGCUCUGAUCGAGGGUCACGAAACGCUCUGAAGUGAACCGACAGUUGAAGACGUCGUUGUCGAAUGUCGGUUUUAUACACCUAUUCAAUUCACGGAGAAGCUAGCUGACAUUUUUCGUGAUGAAAUUCAUUAAGCCGAGAAACGGAUGAGGCAGCUACGUUGUCUGUUUCUCGCUUGUUGUGGUGUGACUGGUGGAACACUUCCAAACUUAGCUUCUGUAACGCUGCAAGCAUGGAAGAGGAACGCAGACUGGAAAACUCGGUCGACCUGGAGCGGGACCGACAGUACUGUGAGCUUUGCGGGAAGAUGGAGAACUUGCUCAAAUGCGGCCGAUGCCGAAACUCCUUCUACUGCAGCAAGGAGCACCAGAAACAGGACUGGAAAAAGCAUAAGCAGAUUUGCAAGGAGGCCGACAAAUCACAGAGUGCUCCGCAACCCGAACCACCACAGCAGGCGUCCCGGGACGGAAAACCAGGACAACGGCAGCUGUUGCAAAAGAACGGCGCGGAACAGGACAGCACGGCUUCCCAAAGCGCAGCGGACUCUGGGCCCAUCAACCCACCGGCGGACGAGCGAAGAGUGGGAGAUUUUAUCACUUGUUCUGAGGGCUCUGGUAGUACUACCGCCGACAGCAAGCAGGGAGGAGACGGGGUUAACAAUAACACGAAAGCCAACGGCCAAACGAGAUCUUCUCCGCAAAAACUAGCUUUGGAAUACAUAGUUCCAUGUAUGAACAAGCACGGAAUAUGCGUUGUAGAUAACUUUCUUGGAGAACAGAUCGGACUGUGCAUUCUGGAGGACGUGAGAGCCCUUCACCAAACCGGUAAAUUCACUGACGGACAGCUGGUCAGUCAGAGAAGCGACUCUACCAGAGACAUACGGGGAGACAAAAUAACGUGGAUUGAAGGAAGAGAACCGGGGUGCCAGAAGAUAGCUUUUUUAAUGAGUCGCAUGGACGAUCUGGUCAGACACUGUAAUGGGAAACUUGGAAGCUACAGAAUUAACGGAAGGACAAAAGCUAUGGUGGCGUGUUACCCCGGCAACGGCACAGGCUACGUACGUCACGUGGACAACCCAAACGGAGAUGGGAGAUGUGUCACCUGUAUAUAUUACCUUAAUAAAGACUGGGAUGCCAAGAAACACGGAGGUCUGCUCCGGAUCUUUCCGGAAGGAAAAGCCCAGUUCGCCGACAUCGAGCCCAAAUUUGACAGGCUGCUGUUUUUCUGGUCGGACCGACGCAACCCUCACGAAGUGCAGCCGGCCUACGCCACUAGCUGGAUAUCUCCUCUGUCUGCAGGUAUGCCAUAACCGUCUGGUAUUUUGAUGCUGAAGAGCGAGCAAGGGCUAAAGAGAAAUACCUAACAGGUACUGGAGAGAAGGGGGUGAAGAUGGACCUGAAUAAAGCCUCGGACCCCAGCUAGUAAGACGGAGGGGGGGGGCGACUCAAAACCCCCACCCGCUCCACCUCCCUGGCACAUCUGCUGAGUUCUGGAAAAUCGUGGAUGAGAGUGAGAGAGAGGAAGAGGAGAAAGCGAGGGAGAGGGAGGGAGAGAGAGUGAAAGAGAGAGAUGAAAUGUCAGGGGAAACUGGACACUGACCUGCGUCUGCUCUUGCUCCUCACAUCUAACACUGCUAAACGCACUGACCAUGAAUGUGGUGAUGAUGAUGAUGAUGAUGAUGAUGAUGAUAAAGCUGCACUGCAAGGACUGUUAAUUCUCCAUGCCCUCUGAAUUUGCGUAUUUGUUUAAUUUCUUUUUUUUUUCUUUUUGCGAGGAAUUCUGACAGCUGGGGUAAAAUGUCACCUGAUGAUUGGAUCUAAACUGGGGAGGAAAUGUAAGGUUUAUUCAGAGAACAAGCUCUCCCAGUCACAUCAGCUUAUUGGUUGAGUUUACCGUCCCAUUUUGUUUUCAUGCUAACUCCUUAAAUAAAAAAAGGUACAGUUGAUUGAAUUCCUCCAAAUGGGUUUCAGGGUCCUUUUAAAGGGAAGGAGUUGUGGGGUUUUUUUUUCCUGUAAGCUCUUUGAGUUAGGAAAUGAACGUCAUUAUAACCUUUUUAACCUCACUUUAAUACAGAUUGGCUGCUUUGCUCUUGUGCUGUGUUUAUCUGGCCUGGAAUCAUCGCUUGGUAAUGCAGUGUCCUCCGAUAGCUAUGCUACACCAGUAAUCUUGUCUGUUGUUGCAGACUUAGUCACCGUUGUCUUAAAAACCAAAACCAACACCUUCUACUUAUCUUACAGAUUAAAUUUUAAAUAAAAAACUGGUUUUUUGAAGUGAUGUUUGAGCCUAAUGUUUGUUUUUUUUGCUAGUUUUUUGUGUGCAUGACUGGGUGUGUGUGUGUUUCUGUGUGGAGCUGUGGUUUGUAUGGAGCUGUGGGUGACCUGUGGAGAGGAGCUUUUGACAGUAUUUUCAGUCGGCCUUCUGGGCUGAAUUCAGGUUGAGGAAGAAAGGGCUUUCCCUCGUUGUGCCGUACUCAAGAUCCGGUUGCCGAUGGCAAUUGUCACACUGGCGGCUGAUUGGGUGACUGACAGGAUCUUGGGCCCAGUAGCCAUUUGGUUUAAGACAGAACAGCGCACUGACUGCAGGAAUUACCAGUUCUGAUGUUCCAGUUUGGUGUCCAGCGCCCUCUAGUGGCUACUUCAGUGGCAUGCACAUCUAAGAACCGGAUUGAAUGUGAAAUUUGGUAAGAUUGGUGAAAUGUCUCAGGAACGUUUGGUACCUGUGCCAAACCUCAGCAACAUAAAGUGCUGUACAUUGGUGUAAUUCAACAACAAAGGCAAGAUUAAAUGAACAAGUUUCUAAGAGCAUUCUUUGUUGUUAGCUGUGUUUUCACUGGUGGAAGACGAUUGUGCCUUUAUUAAGGUCUGCUGUUAUAACUAUUCGCUGUAUGUGGUAGCAAUACUGUAUAUUCAUAUACUAGGGGUAUGUCCUCCAAUGUCCUGGCCAAAUUCCCAAGAAACUGAUUUCACAUACAACCUUUUAAGUAUUAUAUUUGCAAAGAGAAAAGGUAUAUAGUCAAACAUUCAAAAGGUUUUCAAAUGGACCACAUUUUCUACACUGGAUGACUCUACUAAAGUUACGCCGUGUCUUGCAUGUUGGAAAUGAUCAUUCAGGUAGUUUUUUUUUUUUUUGUUGUUGUUUGUUUGGGUCAUCGCAACUGGAGGAGUGAAGUUACUGUGCUGAAUGUGUUGAUGUCCGUAAAUAAGGAAACUGGAGUGUGAGUAAAACUGUAUUUAUACAGCACCUUUCAAGAACAAAUUCACCAAGAGGAAUAAAAUUAAAACCGACAUAAGGACAGAAACACCACAUAUAUAAAAAAUGAAAGCCAGUCUUCAUAGGUGAUUAUGCAGCUCGCCUGUUAUUAUUGAGCUGAAUCAUUCCAUAUCCUAUCCCAUAUUCCAUAACCAAGAUAUGAGACUACAGCAGAAAAAAAAACAUAUCACUUUCUUGUUUUCAACUUCUAAGAAAUGACCUGGGACACUACCUGAAAUGAAUGGGUUAAUCGAUCUCAUUUUAUGUACAUUUUGUACAUUGACAAGAUG